CUCCUCCUCUCCUCCUCCUCACGCUGCUCUCUCCUCGCGGUCUCACCUUCGCCCCCCCCCCCCCUUUUUCUGCCUUCCUCCCAGCUCCCAGCCCACCCAGCACCGCCGCUCCAUGCGCGCAUGCCAGCGCCCACUUGCAUUCGCGCGCCUUUCUCUGCAGCCGAGAUUGCUUGACAAAUAAGGGGUGGAGGGGAAAAAGUUUGUUAUUGAUUUGAUUCUUCCUCACUUGUCCAAAAGUGCACGUAAAUGUAAUUCAUGGGUUAUUUCUGUGUGUGCACGCAAAAACAAUCAAUUUCCCUAGAUUUUGCUUUUUUCUUCUUUUUUUUUUUUUGCUGCAAAAAAACAAAUUAAGUGCAUGCAACACUUUGCACCUGCAAGGAAAAGAAAGAAAAAAAAAAACACCGUGCAUGUGCAAGCCAAAAUUCCAUAUUUGUGUACAUUAAAAUGUGAUAUAAU